AUUCCAGCUCCAAUAGUGUAUAUUAAAGUUGUUGCAGUUAAAAAGCUCGUAGUUGGAUUUCUGGCGGGAGCGAUCGGUCCUUCACUCAGUGUUGGAACCUGAUUGUCUCCUGCCAUCCAUGGAGAAAACUUAUCUGGCAUUAAGUUGUCGGGUAGGCAAUCUCCAUCUUUUACUGUGAAAAAAUUAGAGUGUUCAAAGCAGGCUUAUGCCGUUGAAUAUAUUAGCAUGGAAUAAUAAGAUAGGACUAUGGUACUAUUUUGUUGGUUUGUGCACCAUGGUAAUGAUUAAUAGGGACAGUUGGGGGUAUUCGUAUUCCAUUGUCAGAGGUGAAAUUCUUGGAUUUAUGGAAGACGAACUACUGCGAAAGCAUUUACCAAGGAUGUUUUCAUUG
rnacentral:rRNA from 1 species